ensembl:snRNA
GUGUUGUAUGAAAGGAGAGAAGGUUAGCCCUCCCCUUGACAAGGAUGGAAGAGACUCUCAGGCCUGACAACAUGCAUGCAGUUGGGGCAUUUCCACCUACUUUGUGGCAUCUAAUCUCUGUUG